rnacentral:lncRNA from 1 species
UAGAGAAAACUACUGGGAUUGACCCAUGUCUUUUCUGGAUCACAUCUGACACAUGACCAGAUAGGUCAAUGUUACCAGCUGUGGACUUUAUCUUCAAAUAGAAACCCCCUCCCCCAACAUGCAUGAAGUGAAAUGGUAAAAUGAAGUGGUGCUUAAUAACUGGGAAAAUGCUUUACCUGGAUCUUAAAGAUUUGAUAAGAAUUUUUGGAAAACAAGGCCAAUAUUAUCAAACUGCUCUUUAGAAGUUCUGUUUGUAUUACAUGUAUUUCCCAAAGUAAAAAAUUACUACUGCUCCAGUCACAUGAUCAUUAGUUCAUUUUGAGUGUUCUGAGAUUUAGAUUUAGUAGAGUUUGUACCUAAAAUAAUUUGAAAAUCAGAAGAACCAGCAUGGAUAAAGUGAACAGAACCUUUUCCCUAAGGUGUGCAUCUGAGUAGAUGCCAAUAUGUUUGUUUCAUGCGAGUGAUGUUGUGGUCCCCAAAGGCUUUAUUUCACACCCUACUCUCACUGAUAGGAAGCAGGAAAAUGGGGAAGCUUUUAAUACAAACAUGUAAGCAAGGAGAUGUGAUCCUAUCAUUUACUUAUUCAUUAUAAGGACCCUUAAAGAGACAGAAUGUUUGGGAAAGAAAAAAUAAAUGUCAUCUUUAAUAGGACACCUCAAACUCAGCUUCUUUUCCUUAUUUUGUAGGUACUAUUAAAAUAAUCUGAAAUAGUCUAACUCUAUAAUCCUCAAACAGCUAUUUUCCAUCAUUUUCCCCCUGGUCAUUUACAAAUAUUUCUUCUUUACACCCACUUGGAAAUCAAUUAGCAGACUACUUAUACGUUUACUUCAGAGUUAAGUCGCUUGUAAAAACAUGUUUCUAUGGGGAUCUUGCUUUCAUGCGUUCUUUAUGCAGCUCUGGCAAUCCCCUUUCCAACUAAUUCUGUGACAUUUCACUGUUAACAGAGAUGAAGUGAUAGAAUAUUCACAAACCAAAGUUUAAACAAUUAAGGGAAUGCUGAUUUCCAUAAGUAAUCAUUGAAAACCUGGAUGUUUACACCAAGUGUCAGAAUUUUGUCUGAGCAAAGUAGAAAUGACUUACCUUUGACCUUUUUGAUCUUCAUUUCCUUAUUUGCCUUUAAAAGAGAAGGAGAACUCUAGUGGCUUGCUAGAACCGCCAUAACAAAGUACCACAGACUGGGUAGGUUACACAACACAAAUUUAUUUUCUCACCAUUCUGGAGGCUACAGGAGGUCAAGGUAUUGGCAGUGCUAGUUUCUUCUAAUGUCUCCUAUUGGCUUGUGUGUGGCCAUCUUCUCUCUGUGUCUUCACAUUGUCUUCCCUCUGUGUGUAUCCAUGUCCUAAUCUUUUCUUCUUAUAAGAAUUAGGGCACAGUCAUAUUGGUUAGGGCCAACUCUCAUUUUAGCUUAAUUAACCUCCUUAAAGACUGUUUGUCUAAAUAUUGCCACAUUCUAAGGUGCUACAAGUUAGUACAUCAACAUAUGAAUUUUGGAGGGGGGAUAUAAUUCAGCCUAUAACAGAAACCAUGCCUAUUAUUUUCAUUUUUCAAUAACAGUACUUUAAAAAAUGACAUUGUUUCUCCUUCUUGCACUUUAAAAGUAAUGGAAUGUGUGUAAGACUGCAGGACAUCUACAUAGGUAAGCAUAAAUCUUGUUGGCAUUUUAAUUUUCUCACUGGAAAUCUUGUUUCCAUGUGCAAGUACUGAAGGUUCUGGGAGAUUUUUUUCAUUAUUGCUCUCCUUAUGAAAGCAGCUGUUCAAUGAACACAGCAUAUUUUGUUACCUCAUCAAGAAGCAGAGGAAGAUUAUGUUGUGAUCAGGUUUUGUAUGGCUAUAGUCAAUGCUUUUCUGAUUGUCUGAGCUCCAGUGAUUGAUUUAAUAGGUCUACUCCAGGGCAGUUACUCAUCCCUGAUAUUUGUCCAACUCAAAGCUCCAUGUUAUUUAUGUAAACGAUGCUUUAUAUGCUUUCCAUGAAGAUAAAUCCAAGUUGACAGAACUGUUUAAGAGAUGAGUGUGCCAACCAAUUGGGAUUAUGAUCACAGAAUUUAUCUCCUUCAACUUUCGUGUUACUUCACUGGCAAAUUGGGAGCUUUGGAGGAUAAGAGGAUAAGAUAUGACUGGAAGAAUCUAUUUUCUACUCUGAAGGUAGUAUUUUGACAUUUCAGAGGACUGUGCAUCUAGGAAGACUUCUGAACACAAACAAAGAAAAACAGGCUUGGGAACAGAUGAUUUGUCUUUGGAAAAUGAAAACACCUCUAAACCAUGGGGAAAAUCUUAAACCAGAGUCAUUUAGACAUACCCAACAUUUGGAAAAUGUUCUUAUGUUUAGUGAGUUAUGCAGUUUUAGCUUUGGCCAGGGAUUUUUUUUCUUUCACAUGGCAGAAUAUGAGCCUUAUGUGUUCUUUAUAAGUUGUUAGGAGAUAGAAGUAGUUGUUAGAAGAUCAAAAGGUUACAUGUGAUUUUCUGCUUUGAAUGUGAUGGACUGAGGUCUAUGAAUUGUCCCCUUCUUUUAUAAGAAAUCAUCCAAAAGCCAAAAAAGAAUGAGGAAAAAUUAACGCAAAUUUGAUUUUCAAGAGAACUCAGAGUUACAAGAAAUCUCAAUACAAUAACAACAAAAUAGGAAAAAAAAAAUAAUUGCCAAAAGCAGUGCAAAGCCCACGGGGGCAGAUGAACAUGUGAAGAGAGGAAGUGGAUAGUGACAGAGCUCAACAAAAACUCAACACGAAUCUCUCAAAUAAGUAUGUUCCACAGAAACAUGAAAUAAUAGAUAUUUAAUUUGCAACAACGGGAAUAGGGAAUAUCUCUGGAUGCUUGGAAGUCGGGAUUGAUUGAAGAAUCACAUGAACAAUCCAUGAUUGCAGAAAGUAACUCUGGUUGGAGCAAAGAGAAGGGGGACACUGUAUAUUGCUAACAGUGCUGCAGUUUGUUAGCAUGGAAGAUGUAAAAGUUAAAAUAUCUCACACAAGCAACUCUGUCAUAAGCAGAAUUGCUGGGAGUCUGCAACACAGCUUUAUCCACUUUUCCACCAAAACCUUCCUUAAAGGGCUAAUGGGAAGGGUGCUCAUUUGAAAGGUGAAUGAUAAUGAUAACAGGAAGCAUCAUAGGCUCUAAACAAAGCUCUUACAAAGGGAAAAAACUAAGUAAAGAAACAAGAAAAACAACAGGUGAAGAACAUUCAUCAAGAAAAAUAUACCAUAAGGGGUAAAAUUAUAACCACAUCUGUCAUCAAGAAUUAGUACAGACACACACACACACACACACACACACACACACACACACACACCAAAAAACAAAAACCUAAGAACCUUAAUUAGACAAUAGUAACUGAAAAAGAAAAGGACACAGUAGAGAUGCAAGAGCUCAGGAAGAAUGCCCUUCCAGGUGUAUCCCCUCUCCACCCUCCUCUGUGCCGUAGGAAGCUGACCUCGGAACUUCUUCAGAAGUUCCGUUUUCUACUUGUAGCUGGGCUUGGCCAACUGAGACUGCUAGCAGGAUAAUGGAAGGAAAGGAGAAAUCAGGUAAAGGUAUUGUUCCCUUAGCUCUCCCCAUGGGGUCAUGCUGGCUGCGUCCCUUGACUUGAAGUAAAGAGUUCCUGUAAGAUGGCAUUCACUUUGGGUCCCAGUUACCACUCCCUCUCCUUGCCCCUUCAGACCUAUAGUCCAUUACAAUGGCCCAAGUGGGUACUGCACUAACUCUUGUGAGUUCCCUACAUUCUGCCUUCACCUUUGUAAAAAUCUCUUUGUUACUUUUUUUCAAUUUUUCCGUGCCAUCUCUUUUCUACAAAAAUCAUAACUGAUAUGAAACUGGCAAAGCUAAGCAAUACAGUAGAAGGGAAAAAAAUUAAAUACUAUAGAAAUGAGCCAGAUUGGAAGCAGCACAAAGGAAAAUAGCUUCUUCUGAACAGAGGCACAGUUAAGGGUAGAGAUUAGAAAAGAUGUAAAAUGAAAUUAAAAUAGUUUGAAAAGGCAAGAGAAAAAAUAGUAGAUAUAGAAGAUAAGUAAAUCAGUGUCAUGGACAAAGAGAAGCAAAAUAAUAUAACCAAAAAAAUAUUUAAAGAUAUAAUUCAAUAUAACCUACCAAAAAUAAAAGACUUGAAUCUACAGAUGGGAUGCGUUUGGCAUAUCUAAGGGAAAAAAAAUAACACAGAAUGAUCAACACAAAAACUCAUCCUGGUAAAAUUUCAUAGUUUCAAUAUAUAUUUAAAUAUAUUCUGCAUCCAGAAAGAAAGAUUAAGACACUUAAGGAGGGGAAAAAAUGCAGGAUAGCCUGUCUUUUCUCUGUCAAUACGCAAAACUAACUGCAGAUCAAUGCCAAUUAAAUCCUUGAAAAAAGAAUGAUUCAAGAAUCUUUAUACCUAGACAAACUGCAAUACAAAAUAAAGGCGACCCUUUUGAAUAUAUAGGAACUCAGAAUGUAGCUUUUCAAGUUUUGUUUUUUUUAAUUUCAGCCUUCCUUUAAUGAAUGGAGAAACAGUCAAAAGGAUGGACUGUGAGAAUUGAAUCCACUGUCCCUGGAACUAAGAUCACAAGUAUGAGAAUUAUCGUAAAAAUUAGAAUGUAAAUGUUAAACACCUGGACAAAUAGAAAUUAUAUAUCCAACAAAAGUUGAGAUGAGAGACAAAGCAGUAAGAGGUGGAAUAAAUAUGCUGACCUCUUUUUUUCAUAAAUGGAUAGAGAUAUUAUUUAAAACAGAUAAGUAAAGUAACAGCGAUAUAAGGAUACCUAGAGAUAUAAAGGUGGAUUGAUUUUGGUACCUUUGGGAAACAGAUGGCACACCCACAAAGGGUGACUGAAGAGAGUUUAAUGAUGGUCUGUUUAUAAAGGCCUGAGAAGAACAAAAGAGAUCAAUAAGGAAUGAUGUAGCAAACAUCAGGAACACACUAAUUACCAUCCCUCAGUCUGAAGGGGAAAGCGAAGAGAACUGUUACCAGAUUAGGAAGAAAGAAGCACUCAUGGGAGAGUGUCUGCUAGACAAGAGUUGUGGCCAUAGAUAGAGGAAAUCAAUCAAACUUAAAAAUCAUGGCUGAGGAAGGGGUGCUGAGGAGUAGGUAUCUGGUUCUAUUUUUCUCUUUCUACUUGGUUCCACUGACCCAUCCUAACUAGAAACUAGAAAGGACAAGGGAAUCUAGUUAAGGGAAUUCAUAGAGGUCAGCCUUCCAUAAAAUAGAGCAGGGUAGCUUAGCCACACUAAGGCAAACACUUCGUCUAUGUUCUCCUUUCCCUCUGCUGACCCUUAGCUGGAUCAGUGCUUUUACUUGGUAAGAUCACCACCCCCCCCAAUUUUUUUUUUACACUUAUAUAUUUUUGAGAGACAGAGACAGAGAACAAGUGGGGGAGGGGCAGAGAGAAUGAGACACAGAAUCCGAAGUAGGCUCCAAGCUCUGAGCUGUCAGCAAAGAGCCCAACGCGGGGCUUGAACCCACAAACCGUGAGAUCAUGACCUGAGCUGAAGUGGACACCCAACCAACUGAGCCACCCAGGCGGCCCAAGGGCCAGUACUUUUAUCAAGAGAGUACUAAGACGUGAUUCAGUGAAACUCCUGUAUUCUAGAUAUAGUCUUCUUUGCCCAAGUGUAUGGCAAAAACACAGUUUUCCUUCUGGAAAAUGGCAUCAAUUAUCGUGGUUAAAAUGGUUUUCUGGUUCAGAGGCAUGAGGAACCAAAAAUGGCCAGGGAUGGUCACAGGUUCAAUUUAAUAGACCUGAUACAAGUAUCCCUCUCUAGAAUACUAGGACCACUAAACCCAUUGAGGCAAUACUAUAAGGUUGGGAAGCAAAAAUUAAGUAGGUUAUUAGGUAUAGUAUGAGAAGGACCACUACCACUUCCACUCUGUAGCUCUCAAACCAAUAUAUUCUGACUACUGGAGACAUAACACUAUACAUUGGCACCUGGUUUAAUACAAGCUAUUUCUUAUAGAAAGUUUCCCAAACUCUCAACAUUGAAUGCCACUGAACUUUCAGUUCAGUUGUUUUAUACCAGACAUUUCUAGAAGAUGGGACGUAAGGUAAGAGCAAUUAUUCCAUGGGCAUGAGACCAUUGCUAUAUCUCUUUUGCUAUAAAAUGUGUUUCUUGUUCAGGGUUCCUUGCUUGUGUAGCAUUACAUGGCAAUGAAAAAGGUGUCCUUUAAGUUCACAAAUAAUGGUAUUGGCAGAAGUGCUGUAGAGUGAGAGGGAAAUCCUUAUGAGAAUAAGUUUAUUUUUCUAUAAAGGCAAAUUGCUAUAACACCAUGACAGAAAGGAUCCAAUAUGAUGAACUUGCAACCAUGUUGGGCACUCAGCAAUGGUGGUAGUUAGAUCAGCCUUGGUGAGGGAAAAUUAAUGUUGAGCCCAUACAUAGCUUCCAUCUUUGACAAUAUGGACACAAUGCACAUGAACCCAUUGAGUAAGUUUUAUGGUUACUAGAGAAAUAGGCUUUAUGACACAUGAUUAAAUAUAUUUCCAGUAAGUAAUAUAUGACGAACAUAUUUUAUGUGUGUGAAUUAAAUAUGAUAAUCCAAUUAUAUUUAUUGUGCUACUUUACAUAUUUGUGUUUUUUUAUUUCAUUUAUUUAAAUUUAAGUUAGUUAACAUACAGUGCAGAAUUGUUUCAGGAGUAGAAUCCAGGGAUUCAUCACUUACAUAAACACCCAAUGCUCAUCCCAACAACUUCCCACUUUAAUGCCCAUCACCCAUUUUCCUCAUCCCCUCACACAUAUCCCUUCCAGCAACCCUCAGGUUGUUCUCUGUAUUUAAGAGUCUUUUAUGAUUUUCCUCCCUCUCUGUUUUUAUCUUAUUUUUCCUUCCCUACCCCUAUGUUCAUCUGUUGUAUUUCUUAAAUUUCACAUAUGAGUGAAAUCAUAUGAUAUUUGUAUUUCUCUGACUUACUUCACUUAGCAUAAUAUACUCUAAAUCCAUCAACAUUGCAAAUGGUAAGAUUUCAUUCUUCUUCGUUGCCGAGUAAUAUUCCAUUGUAUGUGUAUGUGCCUCUCUAUAUAUACGUACCACAUAUUUCUUAUCCAUUCUUCAGUCGAUGGACAUUUGGGCUUUUUCCAUAAUUUGGCUAUUGUUGAUAGUGCUGCUAUAAACAUUGGGGUGCAUGUGCCCAUUCAAAUUAGCAUUUUUGCAUCCUUUGGAUAAAUACCUACUAGUGAAAUUGCUGGGUUAUAGGGAAGUCCUAUAUUUAAUUUUUUGAGGAAACUUCAUACUGUUUUCCAGAGUGGCUGGACCAGUUUGCAUUCUCACCAGCAGUGCAAGAGGGUUCCCUUUUCUCCACAUCCUCACCAACAUCUGUUGUUUCCUGAGUUGUUCAUUUUAGCCAUUCUGACAGGUGUGAGAUGGUAUCUCACUAUAGUUUUGCUUUGUAUUUUCUGAUGUGAGUGAUGUUGAACAUCUUUUCAUGUGUCUGUUAGCUAUCUGGAUAUCUUCUUUGGCAAAGUGUCUAUCAUGUUCUCUUCCAUUUCUUCACUAGAUUAUUUGUUUUUUGGAUGUUGGGUUUGAUUAGUUCUUUAUAGAUUUUGGAUACUAAACCUUUAUCCAGUAUGUCAUUUGAAAAAUAUCUUCUCGGGGCGCCUGGGUGGCGCAGUCGGUUAAGCGUCCGACUUCAGCCAGGUCACGAUCUCGCGGUCCGUGAGUUCGAGCCCCGCGUCGGGCUCUGGGCUGAUGGCUCAGAGCCUGGAGCCUGGUUUCCGAUUCUGUGUCUCCCUCUCUCUCUGCCCCUCCCCCGUUCAUGCUCUGUCUCUCUCUGUCCCAAAAAUAAAUAAACGUUGAAAAAAAAAAAUUUAAAAAAAAAAGAAAAAUAUCUUCUCCCAUUCCAUCAGUUGCCCUUUAGUUUUGUUGACUGUUUCCUUUGCUGGGCAGAAGAGUUUUAUCUUGAUGAGGUCCCAGUAGUUCAUGUUUGCUUUUAUUUCCCUUGCCUCUGGAGACAUGUCUAGUAAGAAGUUACUGCAGCCAAGGUCAAAGAGGUUGUUGCCUGUUUUCUCCUCUAAAAUUUUGAUGGUUUCCUGUCUCACAUUUAGGUUUUUCAUCCAUUUUGAGUUUAUUUUUAUGUAUGGUAUAAGAAAGUGGUACAGUUUCAUUCUUCUGCAUGCUGCUGUCCAGUUCUCCUAGCGCCAUUUGCUAAAGAGACUGUCUUUUUUCCAUUGGAUAUUCUUUCCUGCUUUGUGAAAGAUUAGUUGGUCAUACAUUUGUGGGUCCAAUUCUGAGUUUGCAUUCUGUUCCAUUGGUCUAUGUGUCUGUUUUUGUGCCAAUACCAUACUGUCUUGAUGAUUAUGGCUUUGUAGUACAGGCUAAAGUCUGGCAUUGUGAUGCCUCCAGGUUUGGUUUUCUUUUUCAACAUUACUUUGGCUAUUCAGGGUCUUUUGUGGUUCCAUACAAAUUUUAGUAUUGUUUGUUCUAGCUCUGAGAAGAAUACUGGUGCUAUUUUGAUUGGGAUUGCAUUGAAUAUGUAGAUUGCUUUGGGUAGUAUUGACAUUUUAACAAUAUUUGUUCUUCCAAUCCAUAAGCAUGGAAUAUUUUCCCAUUUCUUUGUGUCUUCUUCAAUUUCUUUCAUAAGUUUUCUACAGUUUUAAGUGUACAGAUCUUGUACCUCUUUUGUUAGGUUUAUUCCUAGGUAUUUUAUGGUUCUUGGUGUAAUUGUAAAUGGGGUCCAUUCCUUGAUCUCACUUUCAGUUGCUUCAUUAUUGGUGUAUAGAAAUGCAACUGAUUUCUGUACAUUGAUUUUGUACCUUGCGAUUUUGCUGAAUUCAUAUAUCAGUUCUAGCAGUGUUUUGGUGGAGUCUUUCAGGUUUUCCAUGUAGAGUAUCAUGUCGUCUGCAACAAGUGAAAGUUUGACUUCUUCUUUGCCAAUUUAAAUGCCUUUUAUUUCAUUUUGUUGUCUGAUUGCUGAGACUAAGACUUCCAACACUAUGUUAAACAACAGUGGUGAGAGUGGACUUCCCUGUCAUGUUCCUGAUCUCAGGGGGAAAGCUCUGUUUCUCCCCAUUGAGGAUGAUAUUAGCUGUGGGCUUUUCAUUUACGCCUUUUAUGAUGUUAAGGUAUGCUUCUUCUAUCCCGACUUUCUGGAGGGUUUUUAUUAAGAAAGGAUGCUGUAUUUUGUCAAAUGCUUUUUCUGCAUCUAUUGACAGGAUCAUAUGGUUCUUAUCCUUUCUUCUAGUAAUGUGAUGUAUCACAUUGAUUGAUUUGUGAAUAUUGAACCAGCCUGGCAGCCCAGGAGUGAAUCCCACUUGAUCAUGGUGAGUAAUUCUUUUAACACACUGUUGAAUUCGAUUUGCUAGUAUCUUGUUGAGAAGUUUUGCAUCCAUGUUCAUCAGGGAUAUUGGCCUUUGAUUCUCCUUUUUUGUGGGACCUCUAUCUGGUUUGGGAAUCAAGGUAAUGCUGGCUUCAUAGAAUGAGUUUGAAAGUUUUCAUUCCAUUACUAGUUUUUGGAAUAGUUUGAGAAUAAUCAGUAUUAAGUCUGCUUUAAAUGUCUGGGAGAAUUCCCCUGGAAAGCCAUCUGACCCAGGACUCGUAUUGUUAGAAAAUUUUUGAUAACUGAUUCAAUUUCUUUGCUGGUUAUGGGCCUUUUCAAAUUUUCUAUUUAUUCCUAUUUGAGUUUUAGUAUUAUGUGAAUGUCUAGGAAUUUGUCCAUUUUUUCCAGAAUUUCCAGUUUGUUUGCAUAUAAUUUUUCAUAGUAUUCUCUUACAAUUGUUUGUAUUUCUGUGGUGUUGGUUGUGAUCUCUCCUCCUUCAUUCAUGAUUGUUAUCUAUUAGAGUCCUUUCUCUUUUCUUUUUGAGAAAUCUGGCUAGGGGGUUAUCAAUUUAUUCUUUCAAAAAACCAGUUGAUCUGUUCUACUGUUUUGUUGGUGGUGGUGGUGGCGGCCAUGGUAGUGGUGGUGGUGAUGUUUGCUUUCUAUAUCAUUUCAUUCUUCUCUAAUAUUUAUUAUUUCCCUUCUUCUGGAUUUGGACUUAGUUUGCUGCUCCUUUUCUAGCUCCUUUGGGUGUAAGGUUAGGUUGUGUAUUUGGGACCUUUCUUGCUUCUUGAGAUAUACCUGAAUUGCAAUGUACUUUUUCCUCUUAGAAAUGCUUUUGUUGCUUUCCAAAUGGUUUGGACUGUUGUGUUUUCAUUUUCAUUUGCUUCCAUGUACUUUUUAAUUUCCUCUUUAAUUUACUGAUUAACCCAUUCAUUCUUUAGGAUAUUCUUUAACCUCUGUGUAUUUGAGGGCUUUCCAAAUUUAUUUUUUGAGGUAGAUUGCAAGUUUCAUAGCUUUGUGAUCUGAAAACAUGCAUGGUAUGAUCUUGAGCUUUUUGUGCCUGUUGAAUGUUGAUUUGUGACCCAGUAUGUGAUCUAUUCUGGAGAAUUUUCUAUGUGCACUCAAGAAGAAUGUAUAUUCUGCAACUUUAGGAUGAAAUGUUCUGAAUAUAUCUGUUAAGUCCAUCCAGCCCCGUGUGUUCAUUCAAAACCAUUGUUUCCUUAUUGAUUUUCUGCUUAGAUCAUGGGUCCAUUGCUGUAAGUGGGUGUUAAAGUCCCCUAAUAUUAUGGUAUUAUUAUCAAUGAGUUUCUUUAUAUUUGUGAUUAACUGAUUUAUAUUUGGGUUCUUUAAAGUUGGGGGCAUAAAUAUUUAUAAUUAUUUGAUCUGCUUAGAUCCCUUAGUUAUGUUAUAAUGCCCUUCUACAUCUCUUGUUACACUCUUUGUUUUAAAAUCUCAUUUGUCUGAUAUAAGUAUGGCUACUCCAGCCUUCUUUUGACCUCCAUUAGCAUGAUAGAUGAUUUAUUCAUCCCCUCACUUUCAAUCUGCAGGUGUCCUUAUGUCUAAAAUGAGUCUCCCCUAGGCAGCAUAUAGAUGGGUCUUGUUUUUUUAUCCAUUCUAAUAUCGUAUGUCUUUUGAUCGGAGCAUUUAGUCCAUUUAAAUUGAAUGAUUAUUGACAGAUAUGAAUUUAGUGCCAUUGUGUUAUCUGUAGAUUUGGUGUUUCUGGUGAUGUUCUCUCGUCCUUUGUAGUCUUUGCUGCUUUGGUAUACUUUUUUUUUUCUUUUUUCUUUUCUUUUCUUUUUUUUUCUCCAGAGCGUCCCCCUUAAAAUUUCUUGCAGCGUUGGUUUACUGGUCAAAAACUCCUAUAGGUUUUGUUUGUUUGGGAAAGUCUUUAUCUUUCCUUCUAUUUUGAAUGAAAGCCUUGCUUGGUAAAGAAUUCUUGGCUGCAUAUUUUUCCUAUUCAGCACAUUGAAUAUUUCCUGCCACUCCUUUCUGGCCUGCCAAGUUUCAGUGGACAGGUCUGCUGCUAACCUUAUGUGACUACCCUUGUAUGUUAAGGACCUUUUUUUUCCCAGCUGCUUUCAGAAUUUUCACUUUAUCCUUGUAUUUUGCAAGUUUCACUAUGAGAUAUCAUGGUGUUGACCUGUUUUUGUUGAUUUUAGAAAGGAGUUCUCUUUGCCUCUUGGAUUUAGAUGUUUGUUUCCUUCUCCAGAUUAGGGAAAUUCUCAGCUACAGUUUUUUCAAAUAAACCUUCUUCCCCUUUUUCUCACUAUUCUUCUUCUGGGACUCCUAUGAUAUGGAUAUUGUUUUGUGUCAUGGAAUCACUUCAUUCUCAAAGUCUCCCCUCAUGACCUAGUAAUUUCCUUUCCCUCUUUUGGUCAGCUUCAUUAUUUACCAUAAUUUUAUCUUCUAUUUUACCUAUUCUCUCCUCUGCUUCUUCAAUCCUUGCUGUCACUGUAUCUAGUUUAUUUUGCAUCUCAGCUAUAGCAUUUUAAAAUUCAUCCUGACUAGUUCUUAGGUCCUUGGUCUCUAUAGCAAGGGUUUCUCUGGUGUCUUCUAUGCUUUUUUUCAAGCCAAGCUAGUAGUCUUAUGACUGUUGUUCUAAAUUCUUGUUCAGAUAUAUUCCUUAUAUCUGUUUUGAGUAAGUCGCUGGCUGUGGCUGUGAUUUCAUCUUGAAUUUUCUUUUGGGGAGAAUUCCUCCAUCUCAUCUUGGCUAAGUUUCUGUCUUUUGCAUGUUUUAAAAGCUUGUUAUGUGUGUCCUGCACCUGAAAAUACUGUUAUACCAAAUCGGGGUCAUACACUGUCCAGGGCCUGGCACUCCAGGAAGUGUUUUUGGUUAUGCUGUAUGCACUCUGCUGUUGCAUCUUAGCUGCUCUUUCCUACUGGUCAGUCUUCUGCAGAGUUCCUCCUUGCUUGCAGUGGAGAGUGUUUUGGCCUUUAACCAGGUAUGCUUUGAUUUGUUUGUUGAAGUAACCCUAGGGAAAAAAAAAGAGAAAAGGAAAGAGAACAACAAAGAAAAAAACAGGCAAACAGGGAAUCAGAAAACUAUAAGGCUGAUUCCAUAGAAAAAGUAAGGGGAAAAAGCAGAAGAAAAAAGAAGGAAAAAAAAAAAAAGCAAAAAAGCCAAAUCCAGAAGAGAGAGCGAGAAGAAAAUGAAAAGAAAACAAAACAAAAAACACAGUAAAGAACUAUGAACCUGAUUUCAAAAAAGAAAAAGAAGGGGCACCUGGGUGGCUCAGUCGGUUAAGCAUCCGACUUCGGCUCAGGUCAUGAUCUCACAGUUCGUGAGUUCAAGCCCGUCGGGCUGUGUGCUGACAGCUCAGAGCCUGGAGCCUGCUUCACAUUCUGUGUCUCCCUCUCUCUCUGCCCCUUCCCUGCUCAUGCUGUGUCUCUCUCUGUCUCAAAAAUAAAUAAACAUUAAAAAAAUUUAAAAAAAAAAAAAAAAAAAAAAAAAAAAAAAAAAAAAAAAAAAAGAGCUGUUGUUGGUACCUGUGGGAUGGUGUCUGUGCUGGUCUGAAGGAGAGGUGGACUGCAUUGACUCAGCAUCAGUCUUGCCCUAGUAAAUAAGCAAUUGACAGGCAUGGAGGGGUAGGGUUUGGUGUAAGCAAGUAUGCCUUACUGGGGCCUGCUAUGUUGCUUUCUAAAGUCCCAUCCUGUUGGUGUUGGAGGGAAAAAUGGUGCCACCCCCAUUUCUUGUCCUGGGACUGGGGAUCUCAAUCCCCACUGUUCAGGUAGCCCUCAUAGAAUAGCAAGGGAAGUUAGCUCACCCUGUAUCAAAAUUCUCUUACAUUUCUUCUUUGAUGCAUGGCUGGGAUUCAAAACCCAUAGUCUUAAAGACCCAGUACGGUGCAGUUCCACUCCCUCUGGAGUAGAGUCUCUCACCCUGCUGAUGAAAGGUCUUUGGUUGGCACCUGCAGGGUCUUUUGUCCUUGGGGAGGCAAUAAACCCUCUUCCAAAAGUAUUCCAGGAAGGGACUGUUCUCUCCCAGUGCACCUUGAAGAUCACCAUACCAUGCUUUGCACUCCAGGGCCAGCUGCUUCCUCCCCAGGAGCAUGCACAAUAGCUCUGCUGUAGUUACUGGAGAAAGUCACGCACUUCCAGAAUCUCAGAGUUUGAGCUCCAAAAGCUGUUUGCAAAAAAAGAACUUGGAAACUCAGUACUUCUUGGUCCCCCUCUUGUGCUAACUUGAUGCUGCACUAUCUCAACCCCUCUCUCUUUUUCUCCCUUUUGUCUCUCCAUGGAAAGGGUUUCCUACCCCCGCAUGGUGCCACAAUUUUUCUCUCCCCCAAUUCACCUCCAUGCACCUUGCAUCUGCCAAUCUGCCUCCCUCCAACUGUGGAGAUCCUUCUACCACUCCACAGAUGAAUUUCCUGGGUUUUCCAAGUAAUCUGACCUCAAUGCAGCUGUGUUUGAGGGACAAGGAAAGCCCAGGGUCCCCCCUAAUCAACUCUCUACAAUCCUACUACUCAACUCCCUAUAAAUCUGUUAUCUGAAAAAUUAGGUUGGCAGCACUUUUUUCAGGCUUUUAAGAGAUACUAACUCCAGUUUCCUAAUUUCCCUGGAAACUUUUCAUUCCCUAUCAUCCCACAGGAUGCUUGUCUGUUGACUACCUGCUUCCAGACCUGUGGCUCAUGGAACUCAUGUCUUUUGAGUUUAUACUUUAUUUUGGUUCACAAAGAUGUUCAUCUUACUCUUGAGCCUGUCUGUUUGGGUCAUUGUUAUAUAUAAAGAGUAUGCCAAUGAAUGAACUCACUUUUAAUUCUAAAUUGCUCUACCCACUAUCUACGUAAUUUAGUGGCUAAUGAGUAAAGAGAAAUAUCUGAAUAUUUAAACAUUUGUACUUAUUUAACUUAAGAGCUACUUUACUCUGUUUAUAUUGACUGGGUAUCAUAUCCUUAGUCCCUUGUGUUUAAUUACUAAAAAAAGUAUUAACAAUAAUAUUCUGUUCACUUAUUUUGACAAAUUUUACACUGUAUCAUAUGUAAGACUUCUUGUUACUUGAUAUAUGGAGAGCGACAAAUUAAAGUAAUGAACUUAAACAGAGGUAUAAGUAAUAUUCUGGAUUUUUAAAAACCCAGACCAAGGACAGCAGAGACAUGGCUAAACAGGAGCAUACAUGGCAAAGAUUUAGCAUUUUAGUUGAAUGAAAGUUCUGUAUAAAUUAUUAAUAUAAGUCUGCCAAAAAAUCUCACUCAAGUUAGGCGCAAUAAUAGAAAUAAAGUGAUGAGAUAAAGGUCGUUGGAUACUCCCUUUCUGCUCUCUACAGGUCAUGCUAAACAUAGACUAUUACUUUCAGUCCCAAAUGCCAUACUUUAAAAGGAACAAAUCUGGAGCUUAUCUGGAGAAGAGAAAUCAAAAUGUUAAAAGUUGUGAAAACUAUUAUAAAUAAGGAACACUUUAAGCAACUGACCUUUGAAGGACUUCAUAAGUAUCUUCAAACACUUCAAGGAUAAUAAUAGGAAAAGAAGACUAAUCAUAUUCCACGUAGUUAAGAAUAGAUAGCUAGAAUAGAUAUCUAUUAGAUAUAGAUAUAGAUAGAAUAGAUAGCUAUAUAUUUUCUAGUUCUAUAAAUGUAGAAAAUUUUGGGAAUUUCCAAAAUAUUAGAAUUUUGAAAAUAAAUUCAGCUAUCUUUAUUGCAAUGAGAUUCCAAACAUUGGAAUUAUUCAGGUAAUGGUAAUGAAUAUUAUAUUAAAGAUUAAUACCUUUGAAUGAAGAUUGUAUCAAUAUCUUUUCUUUUGAGGUUCCACCAUUUAUCAAAUUAUACAUAACUAGACUCAUACAUUUUUGUAAACCCUUGUCGAAUCCAUUCUUACAGUAUGCGCCAAUUCUCUUUCAUAUGCUCUGCCUUUAGAAAUUGUUCUACCCCAUUUUUAUUUCCAUCACUAACUUUGGUUAGCUGACCUCUUCUUGUCUUUAAGUCCCAACUACAAUAUCACUUCUUCCUGGAAGACUUCUCAAGGUUUUCUGAUGGUAAAUUUAUUUCCUGAGUAAGUCGUGAGCUUCUUUAAGUAAAACACUAUAUACCCUGAGUAUACCUGCCACAAGUAUCAUUCUAGCCUAAACAUACACAAGACUUAUGUCAACAUUUCUGCAAAAGAAGGAAUAUAGAAAGUGGUCAGUGGGAAGACAUAUUAAUUUUGGACCAGGAAUUAAAAUAGCUGGAAAAACAACAAAAGGAAAAUGAAAAAUUUUAAAUUGAAAAGCUAUAGAAGCAUUAUUUGAAAGGGAGAGAGAAAAUAUGUUCUUGUGAAUAAAUAAUUUCACCUUUGUGUAUUGUUUUCUAUGGUUGAUUCAACUCAAAUAAUUCUUUGAUCAGAAUAAUUUUUCAUGAAGAUUCCAUUUUACUUAUGAUGUAAGAGGCUAGAACAAUCUAGAGAAAAAAAUUCUAUUUUAUUGAUAUGUUUCUAAAAUAUUCCAUUCAGAUAAUUAUUUUAUAGAGGGAAACCAGUAUAGUCUCAUGUCCUAUAGCCUUUAAAAAAGAUAAAAAGGAGGGGAAAAACCCCUUAUUAAUUUAUACUUGCAAAACAAUUGCAGUCAUUUUCCUGGCUGAAGACUAAAUUAUUGUACGUUAUAGUGUGCAUGUCUAUGAUAAGUAGAUUACUAUAGAUCAUUCCAAGAGGAGGUGGAGGGAAGACUGCACUAACAUUAGCUUCUCUGGUAUUUGCAGGCUGUAAAUUUCUUUAAAUGAUAGAUGUAAAGAUGGAAGACAGAUGGAUAGAGGAAAAGACAGAAUCAGAUACUGGAUGAGUUGGUAUUGCAGUCUGUGUUUCAGCGCUGUCUUAUUACUGCAAGGCUAGCAAGCAUCAAAGUCCCCCCACAGCUCCAACUCCCUCCCCCUGAAAUGUACCGAUUUAUAUGAAAAUUAAGAUUACAAAUUAAAGCCUGGCUAUCCUGGAGUUUUCCAGUUCAUCAGCCAUCCAAUAAAAAUGAUGUCAAGCCUGUAUGCAUAAUUCCCAGAAGAUUACUUUGUCCUUACAGCUAAGCCCUGUCCCUGAUAUGAAAGAUCUCUAUCCACUUUUAUUGAAAUAAAGAACUAACAUCAUAAUCCCAAUAUUGAGGUAUAAUCUUCAUUAUCUCCUGACCCUCUUGAGGUUCUCCCAAUCUAUAUUACUUCAGAUUUGUUUAUUUAUAAUCCUUAUGUAUUUACCUUUAUUGAGAUAGGAUUAAAACUAAA